UUAUUAAAAUAAUAAUUUUUUUUCAAACCAUCUGUUAUAAUAUAUUUUAUAUUUUUGAUAAAAUUAAAAUAUCUGAUUUAUAAAUUAUGACAUCCAGUAAGAAAUUUAUAACAUAUUGUUUUCAUUCUUGAUCCACUCCUUUCUCAUUCCUCCUAUGCUCCUCUUCUUGCCAUAAAUUUUUUUCUUAUAAGCUAGGAACAAGAUUUUUUGAUUCGCCGAUGGGGCCCUGC
rnacentral:lncRNA from 1 species